UCCCUAUGCAGUGGUCACCACACUUAGUCGUCCCCUCCAGGUAACUGCUAACUCUGUUACAGAACAAUGUGCUCCUCAAGCAGGUAGGCUCCCUACGCAGUGGUCACCACACUUAGUCGUCCCCUCCAGGUAACUGCUAACUCUGUUACAGAACAAUGUGCUCCUCAAGCAGGUAGGCUCCCUACGCAGUGGUCACCACACUUAGUCGUCCCCUCCAGGUAACUGCUAACUCUGUUACAGAACAAUGUGCUCCUCAAGCAGGUAGGCUCCCUAUGCAGUGGUCACCACACUUAGUCGUCCCCUCCAGGUAACUGCUAACUCUGUUACAGAACAAUGUGCUUCUCAAGCAGGUAGGCUCCCUACGCAGUGGUCACCACACUUAGUCGUCCCCUCCAGGUAACUGCUAACUCUGUUACAGAACAAUGUGCUUCUCAAGCAGGUAGGCUCCCUACGCAGUGGUCACCACACUUAGUCGUCCCCUCCAGGUAACUGCUAACUCUGUUACAGAACAAUGUGCUUCUCAAGCAGGUAGGCUCCCUACGCAGUGGUCACCACACUUAGUCGUCCCCUCCAGGUAACUGCUAACUCUGUCACAGAACAAUGUGCUUCUCAAGCAGGUAGGCUCCCUAUGCAGUGGUCACCACACUUAGUCGUCCCCUCCAGGUAACUGCUCUGUUACAGAACAAUGUGCUUCUCAAGCAGGUAGGCUCCCUACGCAGUGGUCACCACACUUAGUCGUCCCCUCCAGGUAACUGCUAACUCUGUUACAGAACAAUGUGCUUCUCAAGCAGGUAGGCUCCCUACGCAGUGGUCACCACACUUAGUCGUCCCCUCCAGGUAACUGCUAACUCUGUUACAGAACAAUGUGCUCCUCAAGCAGGUAGGCUCCCUACGCAGUGGUCACCACACUUAGUCGUCCCCUCCAGGUAACUGCUAACUCUGUUACAGAACAAUGUGCUCCUCAAGCAGGUAGGCUCCCUACGCAGUGGUCACCACACUUAGUCGUCCCCUCCAGGUAACUGCUAACUCUGUUACAGAACAAUGUGCUUCUCAAGCAGGUAGGCUCCCUAUGCAGUGGUCACCACACUUAGUCGUCCCCUCCAGGUAACUGCUAACUCUGUUACAGAACAAUGUGCUCCUCAAGCAGGUAGGCUCCCUACGCAGUGGUCACCACACUUAGUCGUCCAGGUAACUGCUAACUCUGUUACAGAACAAUGUGCUCCUCAAGCAGGUAGGCUCCCUACGCAGUGGUCACCACACUUAGUCGUCCCCUCCAGGUAACUGCUAACUCUGUUACAGAACAAUGUGCUUCUCAAGCAGGUAGGCUCCCUACGCAGUGGUCACCACACUUAGUCGUCCCCUCCAGGUAACUGCUAACUCUGUUACAGAACAAUGUGCUCCUCAAGCAGGUAGGCUCCCUAUGCAGUGGUCACCACACUUAGUCGUCCCCUCCAGGUAACUGCUCUGUUACAGAACAAUGUGCUUCUCAAGCAGGUAGGCUCCCUACGCAGUGGUCACCACACUUAGUCGUCCAGGUAACUGCUAACUCUGUUACAGAACAAUGUGUUUCUCAAGCAGGUAGGCUCCCUACGCAGUGGUCACCACACUUAGUCGUCCAGGUAACUGCUAACUCUGUUACAGAACAAUGUGCUCCUCAAGCAGGUAGGCUCCCUACGCAGUGGUCACUACACUUAGUCGUCCCCUCCAGGUAACUGCUAACUCUGUUACAGAACAAUGUGCUCCUCAAGCAGGUAGGCUCCCUACGCAGUGGUCACCACACUUAGUCGUCCAGGUAACUGCUAACUCUGUUACAGAACAAUGUGUUUCUCAAGCAGGUAGGCUCCCUACGCAGUGGUCACCACACUUAGUCGUCCAGGUAACUGCUAACUCUGUUACAGAACAAUGUGCUCCUCAAGCAGGUAGGCUCCCUACGCAGUGGUCACCACACUUAGUCGUCCCCUCCAGGUAACUGCUAACUCUGUUACAGAACAAUGUGCUUCUCAAGCAGGUAGGCUCCCUACGCAGUGGUCACCACACUUAGUCGUCCAGGUAACUGCUAACUCUGUUACAGAACAAUGUGUUUCUCAAGCAGGUAGGCUCCCUACGCAGUGGUCACCACACUUAGUCGUCCCCUCCAGGUAACUGCUAACUCUGUUACAGAACAAUGUGCUUCUCAAGCAGGUAGGCUCCCUACGCAGUGGUCACCACACUUAGUCGUCCCCUCCAGGUAACUGCUAACUCUGUUACAGAACAAUGUGCUUCUCAAGCAGGUAGGCUCCCUACGCAGUGGUCACCACACUUAGUCGUCCAGGUAACUGCUAACUCUGUUACAGAACAAUGUGCUUCUCAAGCAGGUAGGCUCCCUACGCAGUGGUCACCACACUUAGUCGUCCAGGUAACUGCUAACUCUGUUACAGAACAAUGUGCUCCUCAAGCAGGUAGGCUCCCUACGCAGUGGUCACCACACUUAGUCGUCCCCUCCAGGUAACUGCUAACUCUGUUACAGAACAAUGUGCUCCUCAAGCAGGUAGGCUCCCUAUGCAGUGGUCACCACACUUAGUCGUCCAGGUAACUGCUAACUCUGUUACAGAACAAUGUGCUUCUCAAGCAGGUAGGCUCCCUACGCAGUGGUCACCACACUUAGUCGUCCAGGUAACUGCUAACUCUGUUACAGAACAAUGUGCUCCUCAAGCAGGUAGGCUCCCUACGCAGUGGUCACCACACUUAGUCGUCCCCUCCAGGUAACUGCUAACUCUGUUACAGAACAAUGUGCUCCUCAAGCAGGUAGGCUCCCUACGCAGUGGUCACCACACUUAGUCGUCCCCUCCAGGUAACUGCUAACUCUGUUACAGAACAAUGUGCUUCUCAAGCAGGUAGGCUCCCUACGCAGUGGUCACCACACUUAGUCGUCCCCUCCAGGUAACUGCUAACUCUGUUACAGAACAAUGUGCUCCUCAAGCAGGUAGGCUCCCUACGCAGUGGUCACCACACUUAGUCGUCCAGGUAACUGCUAACUCUGUUACAGAACAAUGUGCUUCUCAAGCAGGUAGGCUCCCUACGCAGUGGUCACCACACUUAGUCGUCCAGGUAACUGCUAACUCUGUUACAGAACAAUGUGCUCCUCAAGCAGGUAGGCUCCCUACGCAGUGGUCACCACACUUAGUCGUCCAGGUAACUGCUAACUCUGUUACAGAACAAUGUGCUCCUCAAGCAGGUAGGCUCCCUACGCAGUGGUCACCACACUUAGUCGUCCCCUCCAGGGAACUGCUAACUCUGUUACAGAACAAUGUGCUUCUCAAGCAGGUAGGCUCCCUACGCAGUGGUCACCACACUUAGUCGUCCCCUCCAGGGAACUGCUAACUCUGUUACAGAACAAUGUGCUUCUCAAGCAGGUAGGCUCCCUACGCAGUGGUCACCACACUUAGUCGUCCCCUCCAGGGAACUGCUAACUCUGUUACAGAACAAUGUGCUUCUCAAGCAGGUAGGCUCCCUAUGCAGUGGUCACCACACUUAGUCGUCCAGGUAACUGCUAACUCUGUUACAGAACAAUGUGCUCCUCAAGCAGGUAGGCUCCCUACGCAGUGGUCACCACACUUAGUCGUCCAGGUAACUGCUAACUCUGUUACAGAACAAUGUGCUCCUCAAGCAGGUAGGCUCCCUACGCAGUGGUCACCACACUUAGUCGUCCAGGUAACUGCUAACUCUGUUACAGAACAAUGUGCUUCUCAAGCAGGUAGGCUCCCUACGCAGUGGUCACCACACUUAGUCGUCCCCUCCAGGUAACUGCUAACUCUGUUACAGAACAAUGUGUUUCUCAAGCAGGUAGGCUCCCUACGCAGUGGUCACCACACUUAGUCGUCCCCUCCAGGUAACUGCUAACUCUGUUACAGAACAAUGUGUUUCUCAAGCAGGUAGGCUCCCUACGCAGUGGUCACCACACUUAGUCGUCCCCUCCAGGUAACUGCUAACUCUGUUACAGAACAAUGUGCUUCUCAAGCAGGUAGGCUCCCUACGCAGUGGUCACCACACUUAGUCGUCCCCUCCAGGUAACUGCUAACUCUGUUACAGAACAAUGUGCUUCUCAAGCAGGUAGGCUCCCUACGCAGUGGUCACCACACUUAGUCGUCCAGGUAACUGCUAACUCUGUUACAGAACAAUGUGCUUCUCAAGCAGGUAGGCUCCCUACGCAGUGGUCACCACACUUAGUCGUCCCCUCCAGGUAACUGCUAACUCUGUUACAGAACAAUGUGCUCCUCAAGCAGGUAGGCUCCCUACGCAGUGGUCACCACACUUAGUCGUCCAGGUAACUGCUAACUCUGUUACAGAACAAUGUGCUCCUCAAGCAGGUAGGCUCCCUACGCAGUGGUCACCACACUUAGUCGUCCCCUCCAGGUAACUGCUAACUCUGUUACAGAACAAUGUGCUCCUCAAGCAGGUAGGCUCCCUAUGCAGUGGUCACCACACUUAGUCGUCCAGGUAACUGCUAACUCUGUUACAGAACAAUGUGCUUCUCAAGCAGGUAGGCUCCCUACGCAGUGGUCACCACACUUAGUCGUCCCCUCCAGGUAACUGCUAACUCUGUUACAGAACAAUGUGCUUCUCAAGCAGGUAGGCUCCCUACGCAGUGGUCACCACACUUAGUCGUCCAGGUAACUGCUAACUCUGUUACAGAACAAUGUGCUCCUCAAGCAGGUAGGCUCCCUAUGCAGUGGUCACCACACUUAGUCGUCCAGGUAACUGCUAACUCUGUUACAGAACAAUGUGCUCCUCAAGCAGGUAGGCUCCCUACGCAGUGGUCACCACACUUAGUCGUCCCCUCCAGGUAACUGCUAACUCUGUUACAGAACAAUGUGCUCCUCAAGCAGGUAGGCUCCCUACGCAGUGGUCACCACACUUAGUCGUCCAGGUAACUGCUAACUCUGUUACAGAACAAUGUGCUUCUCAAGCAGGUAGGCUCCCUACGCAGUGGUCACCACACUUAGUCGUCCCCUCCAGGUAACUGCUAACUCUGUUACAGAACAAUGUGCUUCUCAAGCAGGUAGGCUCCCUACGCAGUGGUCACCACACUUAGUCGUCCCCUCCAGGGAACUGCUAACUCUGUUACAGAACAAUGUGCUUCUCAAGCAGGUAGGCUCCCUAUGCAGUGGUCACCACACUUAGUCGUCCAGGUAACUGCUAACUCUGUUACAGAACAAUGUGCUCCUCAAGCAGGUAGGCUCCCUACGCAGUGGUCACCACACUUAGUCGUCCAGGUAACUGCUAACUCUGUUACAGAACAAUGUGCUCCUCAAGCAGGUAGGCUCCCUACGCAGUGGUCACCACACUUAGUCGUCCAGGUAACUGCUAACUCUGUUACAGAACAAUGUGCUUCUCAAGCAGGUAGGCUCCCUACGCAGUGGUCACCACACUUAGUCGUCCCCUCCAGGGAACUGCUAACUCUGUUACAGAACAAUGUGUUUCUCAAGCAGGUAGGCUCCCUACGCAGUGGUCACCACACUUAGUCGUCCCCUCCAGGUAACUGCUAACUCUGUUACAGAACAAUGUGCUUCAUUGUUCUCUCCGUCAAGUGGAAGUCCUUGAUGAGAACUGUUAUGGAGAGGAAACAGCUUGUUGGGUGAUGACUGAUUUCAGUACAUAUUGAAAUGUCAACACCUCUUUUCUCUCUCCUCUCUCUCUCCAUAUCUCUCAUCUAUCUGUCUCUCUCUCUCUCUCUCUCUCUCUCUCUCUCCUAUCUCUCUCCAUCUCAUCUAUC